GGGGGGAGCAAGCGUUGUUCGGAAUCACUGGGCGUAAAGGGCGUGUAGGCGGUCAGGUAAGUGGGAUGUGAAAUCCCUCGGCUCACCCGAGGACCUGCAUCCCAAACUGCUUGGCUUGAGUAUGGGAGAGGAUGAGGGAAUUCCUGGUGUAGCGGUGAAAUGCGUAGAUAUCAGGAGGAACACCGGUGGCGAAAGCGCUCAUCUGGCCCAAUACUGACGCUGAGGCGCGAAAGCUAGGGGAGCAAACGGGAUUAGAUACCCCGGUAGUCCUAGCCGUAAACGGUGAUCACUAGGUGUUGGAGGCAUCGACCCCUCCAGUGCCGCAGCUAACGCAUUAAGUGAUCCGCCUGGGGAGUACGGCCGCAAGGUUG
rnacentral:rRNA from 1 species